UCAACUUGCCUACCUGGUUAAAUAAAGGUAAAAUAUAUAUUUUUUUAAAUUAGGAAAUGCAACUGAGAUUGAGACUUGGUCCUUGGAGGUGUGCUUUGAUGUGGGUGUCUCUUGUGUGUGUGUUCGAACGUGGGAAGAGUUUUGACUUUCACUCUGCCAAAACAGUACACAGUUACAGUCUAACCAGGUUCUUGGACAUUUUUCCAUGGCACACAUACACACUCUGACUCGGCACAAAACUGCUGGGUGUGUUGGAGAUUUUCCAGUUAUCUGAUGAUUCUCAGUACCUAUACUGUUCACUUUGAAGUAGAAAGAAGAAUCGAUAUACGUUUAAAUAUUAGACAUGUGUAAGCAGAAUGAAGGCUGAAGCCCAGGUGAGUGUACAAAGCUGGACCAACAUCGAAUUGACCAUUGGACAUGUUGGACAUUGGACAUAAAAAACGGGAACGUAAGUAGAUGAGGCAAGGUAGACUCACAAGAUGUGUCUGGUCUGGGCCAUAUCUGAUCUUGUGAAGGCUACUGGACAAGCACAUGGGUUACAGUUUUUUCCAAUUGCUAACACACUAAAAUGACAUGCACAGCACAAUUAUUUAAACUGACACACAGAGAGCAAAACCUCUUCUCAAGUCUCCAAAAGUCUAAACACAUUUUCUGCUUUACACACAUUUUGCAAUUCAAAAUGGCACUUUUUAAAUGCACUGCACACGGUUCUCUGCAUAAGACACAACAAUCUGACAUAAAGUCACAUGUUUGCCAUUUCAAAACACUGCCAUUCAAAAUGACACUACAUGAGCUAAUUGGCCAAUACAUGUGCCACCUGGCCAAACACCUCAAUGGUUAAUUGUUACCACUUCAAUCAGGAAGUAAGCACUAUGAAAAGACCACAGGUGAGCACCUUUUGUUUUACAACAACAAUGGAAGCUGUUGCAGAGAGAGGAAGAGGAAGAGGGAGGGUGACAAUGAGAGGGGGAUGAAGAGUGAGAGGUAGGGGUAGAGCUGGUAGAGGAGUUCAUGGCCAAAGAAGACAACUUUCAAAUGAAAUCAGAGCAACCUUAGUUGAUCAUGUCAUCAACCAUGGGCUGACAAUGCGAGAGGCUGGACAGAGAGUGCAGCCCAACUUGAGCCGUUUUACUGUCGCCUGUGUCAUCCGGACAUUUAGACUGGAGUACAGGACUGAGAGACGCAACCAUGGUGGAGGAAGGGGCCAAAUGUUCACUGGGGUACAGGAAGCUGCCAUUGUAAACUUGGUUUUGGAAAAUAAUGAAAUCAGAUUAUGAGAAAUUCAAAGCCACAUCAUCCAAGACAACACCAUAUUCAACAACAUUCAACGAGUCAGUCUGUCCACAUUGGCUCGCAUUCUCAAGCGAAACCAAAUCAGAAUGAAACAACUUUAUAAGGUGCCGUUUGAGAGAAACUCUCAAAGAAACAAAGAGGUCAGACGAGCAUAUGUGGAUGGAGUACUGGAAAUGGAUGCUCAUGCAAUCCCACAUGAGUUCAUCUUUAUAGAUGAGGCUGGGUUCAACCUAGCAAAGACCAGAAGAAGGGGGAGAAACGUAAUUGGCCACAGAGCCAUUAUAGAUGUUCCUGGCCAACGUGGUGGGAACAUCACAAUGUGCGCUGCCAUCUCCAAUACGCAUGGUAUCCUCCACCGUCAUGCCAACCUUGGACCAUACAACACAGCCCAUAUUCUCACAUUUCUGGACAGACUCCACAACAUUCUCAUACCACCAGAGCGUAUGAAUGAUGCAGACCAUCAAAGAACCCGGUACGUUGUAGUAUGGGACAACGUGAGCUUUCAUCGUGCAGCCCCAGUCCAAAACUGGUUUGCUGACCACCCACCAUUUCUCGUGCAAUACCUCCCACCAUACUCACCAUUUCUGAACACCAUAGAAGAGUUAUUUUUGGCAUGGCGGUGGAAGGUAUACGACCGGCAGCCCUUUGUGCGCAUGCCUCUUGUGCAGGCUAUGGAAGAGGCAUGUGAUGAGAUUGAUGUGGGUGCGAUUCAGGGAUGGAUAAGGCACUCAAGGCGCUUCUUCCCUCGAUGUCUGGCAAGGGAAGAUAUUGCCUGUGAUGUGGACGAGGCGUUGUGGCCAGACCCAGCUGUGCGGCAAGAUGCUGCCUAAUUAUUUUUCUUGCCUCUUUUUUAAAUAUUUUUUUUGCAAUUUUCUUUUUCAGUUUACUGUUUUUUUGUGAGCAUAUUUUUGUUCAGUCCAAUGUAAAUAUAUCUGCUGUCCAUAUGUUGCACUGACUUGUUUGGUGAAAAAUAAAAAAUUAAA